rnacentral:lncRNA from 1 species
CAGGAAGUUCUCGGGGAUCUUAAUGCGAUGGUUCUAACUUCACUGUUGGAGGACGUUCGCCGAGUGGCUCUGAGCCUCCUGCUAUCGAGGCGGGCCUCCUCCAGCUCCCGCAGGCGUGGUUGCUGUCCCUGUGUCCACUCGGGCCUCACUCGGGCCUCACGCCGGCCCUCCUCGGGGAAGCCCUCCCUGACUCCCCUCUGAAGGGCAGGAGCGUGGCUGCCUCCCUGCACCAGGACACCCAGGCGCUUGGCGGGCUGCUGGGCGGCCCCCACCUGGUCAGGUAGGGCUGUG